rnacentral:rRNA from 1 species
CAAUAGCAUAUAUUAACGUUGUUGCAGUUGAAAAGCUCGUAGUUGAACUUUUGGUAGGAGCGACCUGGCCUUGGGCGCAUGCCCUUGUUUGCCGUGUGUCGUGUCUGGCCAUCCUUUUCCGCUUCGGCGGGAAUCUUUUACUGUGAGUAAACUGGAGUGCUCAAAACAAGACGUUUGUUUGGUACAUUAAAGCAUGGAAUAAUAAGAUAGGACCUGGUUACUAUUUUGUUGGUUUGCAUAGCUGGGUAAUGAUUAACAGGGACAGUUGGGGGUAUUCGUAUUUAAUUGUCAGAGGUGAAAUUCUUGGAUUUAUGAAAGACGAACGACUGCGAAAGCAUUUACCAAGGAUGUUUNCAUUAA